GUCUGGGCUCAAGAGGGUGCGCA
rnacentral:piRNA from 1 species